rnacentral:SRP_RNA from 1 species
GCCGGGCGUGGUGGCUCACGCCUGUAAUCCCAGAGCUUUGGGAGGCUGAGGUGGGCGGAUCACCUGAGGUCAGGAGUUCAAGACCAGCCUGACCAACAUGGUGAAACCCUGUCUCUA